ensembl:lncRNA
UCCUAGAAAUUUUAUGACAUUUUAUAAUUUUUUUGGUCAGUCUAAUCUAAAGGCCUUUGCGAUGUUAAAUUGUGAACAUCUUGAGGUUUCAUUAAAGGGUGUGGCCAUGGCGCCGUGACAAAGUUUGAUGUCUCGCCAUGGGAAUAGAAGUUGUUGUAACUCAGGCAUGAGGUGUCCUAUUGACAACAGGUGGCGCCAUGAUUAUAACUGAACAUUGGCCUUUAGAUAUCUUCAGGCCAUGACUCUUAUUAAAUAUUUGAAGUUUGGUGCAGAUUGGACAUUGCAUGUUUAAGUUAGUGUAAAACAAGCAAUUUUCUGUUGUCAGCAGGUGGCGCUAUGACUAUUGUGGAAUAAUGACCUUCAAAUGUGUUCAGGCCAAGACUCUUUUCGAACAUGUGAAGUUUGAGAAAGAUCGGACAUCUUAUGCCUGAGUUACAACAACUUCAAUUCCCAUGGCGAGACAUCGAACUUUGUCACGGCUCCAUGGCCACACCCUUUAAUGAAACCUCAAGAUGUUCAGAAUUUAACAUCGCAAAGGCCUUUAGAUUAGACUGACCAAAAAAAAAUAUAAAAUGUCAUAAAAUUUCUAGGAGUAGUUUGUUACGGCGUAAAACAUGUCACUUCCUGUUGCCAGCAGGUGGCGCUAUAGCGAUAUCUGAAUAUUGGCAUGUAGAUAUAUUCAGGUCAGAAGUCUUCUCAAACAUGUGAAGUUUGGGGCAGAUUGGACAUUGUAUGUCUGAGUUAUAGCAACUUCCUUUCUCAUGGCGAAACAUCGAAAUUUGUAAGGCCGCCACAGACACGCCCUUAAACGAAACCUCAAGAUCUUCGCAAUUUAACAUCGCAAAGGCCUUUAGAUUACAC